AACUUGCGGAAGGAUCAUU
rnacentral:rRNA from 1 species